ACCCUCCAGAAUCCUGACCCCUGAGAUCUAAACAUUGGUCUGAGUGGUUCCCAAAGGAGGAAAAGUGAAGCUGAAACAGGCUUAGACGUGCCCCUGUGGGUUUCCGAGGCUGUACAUUUUUACGGAAGCACAAAGCCUCGUCUCUCUCUUGC
rnacentral:snoRNA from 1 species